rnacentral:tRNA from 1 species
GGGGCAUAGCUCAGUUGGGAGAGCGCUUGAAUGGCAUUCAAGAGGUCAUGGGUUCGAAUCCCACUGUCUCC